rnacentral:rRNA from 1 species
UGGGGAAUAUUGGGCAAUGGGCGCAAGCCUGACCCAGCAACGCCGCGUGAAGGAAGAAGGCUUUCGGGUUGUAAACUUCUUUUAUUGGGGACGAAUAGAUGACGGUACCCAUUGAAUAAGCUCCGGCUAACUACGUGCCAGCAGCCGCGGUAAUACGUAGGGAGCAAGCGUUAUCCGGAUUUACUGGGUGUAAAGGGCGUGUAGGCGGGAGUGCAAGUCAGAUGUGAAAACUAUGGGCUCAACCCAUAGCCUGCAUUUGAAACUGUACUUCUUGAGUACUGGAGAGGCAGGCGGAAUUCCGUGUGUAGCGGUGAAAUGCGUAGAUAUACGGAGGAACACCAGUGGCGAAGGCGGCCUGCUGGACAGCAACUGACGCUGAGGCGCGAAAGCGUGGGGAGCAAACAGGA